GGACGAACGCUGGCGGCGUGCCUAACACAUGCAAGUCGAGCGAGGAGAUCCUUCGGGAUGAUCCUAGCGGCGGACGGGUGAGUAACACGUGGGCAACCUGCCUCAUAGAGAGGAAUAGCCUUCCGAAAGGGAGAUUAAUACCUCAUAACAUUGCAGUUUCGCAUGAAACAGCAAUUAAAGGAGCAAUCCGCUAUGAGAUGGGCCCGCGGCGCAUUAGCUAGUUGGUGAGGUAACGGCUCACCAAGGCGACGAUGCGUAGCCGACCUGAGAGGGUGAUCGGCCACAUUGGGACUGAGACACGGCCCAGACUCCUACGGGAGGCAGCAGUGGGGAAUAUUGCACAAUGGGGGAAACCCUGAUGCAGCCAACGCCGCGUGAGUGAUGACGGCCUUCGGGUUGUAAAGCUCUGUCUUCAGGGACGAUAAUGACGGUACCUGAGGAGGAAGCCACGGCUAACUACGUGCCAGCAGCAGC
rnacentral:rRNA from 1 species